ACGAUCAUACUUUUAGGGAUCAUUUCUAUAGUGUGCAUUUUGAAAACGUCAUCAAAUUAUGACGAAACCUUAACUAUACGAUGAUGAGUUGUAGGAAUUCCCUCUGAGCAUGAAGCUUGGUUCGUUGUAUCUUCGGAUGUUGCGAACUAUUGAGGAUUGUUCUUGGAUUUCCAUUCGGAGAUCUGGGAGGAAGGAAUCUCCGGCUGAGUAGU
rfam:Ciona savignyi cont_45944, whole genome shotgun sequence.